UGAAUGGGUUGAGCCAGCGACCACAGUAAUUCAUGCCAAUUGUGUUUGUGUGAAGUUUACAAAGUCAUCUCCAAAAACAGUUGGAGGGGGAACACGACCCGGUAACACAAACAGAGAGCCGGUGUUACUCCCACACAUCUCCUCGCUCCGUUUGCUGUGUUUUAAGGAACAGUAGCUAAACCGUGAGGUUGUCUUGGCCCCCGUCUCCUGUUCACUCUGGUCCACUCAUAAAGCCUGCAUGUCUCGGACGCCUCUGUCAAACUCUACAAGCAGUGACAACUGGCACCUGUUGCAGCUAUUAAACACUCGAAGCCACGAGAAUCCUUGUUGGAUGUUAUGCAUGAUCAGUCCGAUCAAAGAGAAAUGUGUGGAAGGAAGCGUGGGUGAAGCAGACAGUGGGUGUGCUGGUGAUGGUAUGCGGAUCCUGCGACAGGUUGAUCUUGAGGAAAUGCCUAAAAGUUGGAGCACAGCAAGGCCAGAGGUCUGACAAAUGAAAGACAACUGUUGGUGACCAUGU